rnacentral:lncRNA from 1 species
GUAUGUUGACCUCGGGAUUGGGUAGACUUAUCCGAAUCUAGUCAUUAAACGGGAUUCAACAUUUUUAUUGUGCAGAAUCGAUAUGUUGGCCUCAUGACAUCGGGUAUUGGUUAAACCUAUCCAGAUCUAGUCAUUAAACGGUAUUUAGCAAGCCAAGAAGCAUAAGUAAAAGCAACAUGGGUAAGCAGCAUAAGCAGCUGGUGGCUUUCGCACGCCGCGCUCUCUCUCUAAGCGGCUUUUGACGUACUUUUCAAAGCUUCUACUUCUACUUCAACAACGAGUGCUUUGACAUUGCUAACACAUGCAAAGCUCGUUGCCUACACUGGCCUUAGACGCCACCUAAAGGGUUAUAGAGAAUUAGAGAUAUAUGUAACUACUUAUAUUAGUGGAUGGAUGUUCACCGAAAGCCAAUAUAGCUCGCGGUCCUUAUCUAGUUUCAUAUAGCUCGCGAGAGAAAAAGGUAUCAUAGGUAGUAGACUUAGACACAGCUAUAGUGACCCGAAUGACUAGCUAUAGGUAUAUAGGGUACCUUAGCUAGCUAUAGUAAUGGAUUGCGCCCGUCCAAGCCCAUAGUCAGGUUCGUUGGUAGCCUUAGUCUGAUA